CCGAAAACCGUUUAGAACUCGGAGUGAAUCGAGGCAGCUUCCGUGGGAAACCACGGUUGACAAAGCAGGCUAAGUCAGGGAAGCCCUGUGCCGUACGGUACAGGGUAAUCCUGAGCUAGCACCCCGCCUUCGGCGGGGGGGCAAGUGCAGAGACUAUACACCUGCUCCCGUAAAGUCACGCUUCGCGUGACCACGGGAAAGAGAUAGUCCACUUCCGGUAGUAAUAUCGGG
rnacentral:ncRNA from 1 species